GGGAUCGACUCCAGGGAUUCAUCCAAGAAGAACAGCAUAUCAUCCACAUAGGCGGCUACUGUGCUUGAGGCCCAUUAUCUGUGGGUUCCUCAGUAUUUUAUCUAGGAACAGUUCCAGGGUGAAUGCAAACAGGAGCGGCGAGAGUGGGCAGCCUUGUCUGGUUCCGUUUUUGAUGUCAAAGCUGUCGGUAAGUGCCCCAUUCACUCAGACUUUGGCAUUUGGUUGGUGGUAGAGCGUUUCGAUCCACUUCAGCAUCCUCUCUCCGAUGCCGGUUCUCCUUAGUGUCGCUAUCAUAAAU